rnacentral:rRNA from 2 species
CUGUGGUAAUUCUAGAGCUAAUACAUGCCACGAAGCGCCGACCUUACGGAAGGCGUGCUUUUAUUAGGAUCAAGACCAACACGGGCUUGCCCGGCUUCGUUGGUGAACUCUGGAUAACUUCGCAGAUCGCAUUGUCAUCGAACAGGCGACAUUUCUUUCAAACGUCUGACCUAUCAAUUUUCGAUGGUACGAUAUGCGCCUACCAUGGUGCUAACGGGUGACGGGGAAUCAGGGUUCGAUUCCGGAGAGGGAGCCUGAGAAAUGGCUACCACAUCCAAGGAAGGCAGCAGGCGCGCAAAUUACCCACUCUCGACACGAGGAGGUAGUGACGAAAAAUAACAAUACAGGACUCUUUCGAGGCCCUGUAAUUGGAAUGAGUACACUUUAAAUCCUUUAACGAGGAUCUACUGGAGGGCAAGUCUGGUGCCAGCAGCCGCGGUAAUUCCAGCUCCAGUGGCGUAUAUUAAUACUGCUGCAGUUAAAAAGCUCGUAGUUGGAUCUAGGGCGUAGGCUGAGGGUCCCUCGCAAGGGGUGCACCUCUCAGACCUGGCCUCCCUCGCGGUUUGCGCUCGGUUCUCUUGAUUGAGUGCCGAGUGCUACCGGAACGUUUACUUUGAAAAAAUUGGAGUGUUCAAAGCAGGCGUAACAGCCUGAACAGCAGAGCAUGGAAUAAUGGAAUAGGACCUCGGUUCUAUUGCGUUGGUUUUAAGAGUUACGAGGUAAUGAUUAAGAGGGACUGACGGGGGCAUUCGUAUUGCGGUGUGAGAGGUGAAAUUCUAGGAUCGCCGCAAGACGACCGACAGCGAAAGCAUUUGCCAAGAAUGUCUUCAUUAAUCAAGAACGAAAGUUAGAGGUUCGAAGGCGAUCAGAUACCGCCCUAGUUCUAACCAUAAACUAUGCCGACCGGCGAUUCGCCGGCGUUACUCCAAUGACACGGCAGGCA